rnacentral:rRNA from 1 species
CCUACGGGAGGCAGCAGUGGGGAAUUUUGGACAAUGGGCGCAAGCCUGAUCCAGCCAUGCCGCGUGUGGGAAGAAGGCCUUCGGGUUGUAAACCACUUUUGUCAGGGUAAGAAACGGCUCUUACUAAUAUUAGGGGCUAAUGACGGUACCUGAAGAAUAAGCACCGGCUAACUACGUGCCAGCAGCCGCGGUAAUACGUAGGGUGCAAGCGUUAAUCGGAAUUACUGGGCGUUAAAGCGUGCGCAGGCGGCUUUGCAAGACAGAUGUGAAAUCCCCGGGCUCAACCUGGGAACUGCAUUUGUGACUGCAUGGCUAGAGUACGGUAGAGGGGGAUGGAAUUCCGCGUGUAGCAGUGAAAUGCGUAGAUAUGCGGAGGAACACCGAUGGCGAAGGCAAUCCCCUGGACCUGUACUGACGCUCAUGCACGAAAGCGUGGGGAGCAAACAGGAUUAGAUACCCUGGUAGUCCACGCCCUAAACGAUGUCAACUGGUUGUUGGACGGCUUGCUGUUCAGUAACGAAGCUAACGCGUGAAGUUGAACCGCCUGGGGAGUACGGGCCGCAAGGUUGAAACGUCAAAAGGAUUGACGGNNGAGAGNGCGACGACGACGACGAGGGAGGAGG